rnacentral:rRNA from 1 species
CUAACACAUGCAAGUCGAGCGGUAAACAGAAGCUUGCUUCUCUUGAGAGCGGCGGACGGGUGAAUAAUGCCUAGGAAUCUGCCUAGUGGUGGGGGAUAACGUUCGGAAACGGACGCUAAUACCGCAUACGUCCUACGGGAGAAGGCGGGGGACCUUCGGGCCUCGCGCCAUUAGAUGAGCCUAGGUCGGAUUAGCUAGUUGGUGAGGUAAUGGCUCACCAAGGCUACAAUCCGUAACUGGUCUGAGAGGAUGAUCAGUCACACUGGAACUGAGACACGGUCCAGACUCCUACGGGAGGCAGCAGUGGGGAAUAUUGGACAAUGGGCGAAAGCCUGAUCCAGCCAUGCCGCGUGUGUGAAGAAGGUCUUCGGAUUGUAAAGCACUUUAAGUUGGGAGGAAAGGUAGUAACUUAAUACGUUGCUACUUUGACGUUACCGACAGAAUAAGCACCGGCUAACUUCGUGCCAGCAGCCGCGGUAAUUCGAAGGGUGCAGGCGUUAAUCGGAAUUACUGGGCGUAAAGCGCGCGUAGGUGGUUCACUAAGUUGGAAGUGAAAUCCCCGGGCUCAACCUGGGAACUGCUUUCAAACUGCUGAGCUAGAGUACGGUGGAGGGUAGUGGAAUUUCCUGUGUAGCGGGGAAAUGCGUAAAUAUAGGAAGGAACACCUGUGGCGAAGGCGACUACCAGGACUGAUACUGACACUGAGGUGCGAGAGCGUGGGGAGCAAACAGGAUUAGAUACCCUGGUAGUCCACGCCGUAAAGGAUGACAACUAGCCGUUGGGAGUCUUGAACUCUUAUGGCGGAGCUACCGGGUUAAGUUGACCGCCUGGGGAGUACGGCCGCAAGGUUAAAACUCAAAUGAAUUGCCGGGGGCCCGCCCAACGGUUGAACAUGUGGUUAAAUUCUAACCACGCGAAGAACCUUACCUGACCUUGACAUGCAGAGACCUUUCUAUAGAUAGAUUGGU